UACGUAGGGGGCAAGCGUUGUCCGGAAUCAUUGGGCGUAAAGCGCGUGUAGGCGGUUCGGUAAGUCGGCUGUGAAAGUCCAGGGCUCAACCCUGGGAUGCCGGUCGAUACUGCCGGACUAGAGUUCGGAAGAGGCGAGUGGAAUUCCCGGUGUAGCGGUGAAAUGCGCAGAUAUCGGGAGGAACACCAAUGGCGAAGGCAGCUCGCUGGGACGUUACUGACGCUGAGACGCGAAAGCCAGGGGAGCGAACGGG
rnacentral:rRNA from 1 species